rnacentral:lncRNA from 1 species
GCAGCCUAUAUAAGUCUCGUGAGAUCUCCUCCCCUUGGUUUACUGUCACAGCCGGAUCUGCGGCGGUGUCUCGCCCGGUCUCCCGCCCGGUCUCCGGUCCCAGGCUCGGGGAGCAUGUCGUCUCUCUGCCGCCCUGCCGCCACAUCUGGCUUUAAUCCUCCCCGGCGUGUGCAGAGGCAGCUCAGACUGCCAACAAAAGGCCCCGGGAGCCCUCGGCCUCCGCCUUGGCGCGCGACCCGACCACCCCGGACUGCCCCAGCCCGGCCCCUUCCCCCAGCUGCAGGUCCCGUGCCCUGGACAUCCUGCCUGGGUAGCAGUCCUGGUGACAGGUCCCGGCAGCGGCUCCCGCCCUAAUCCGACGGUGGAGUCCGAGGCCCCGCGGUUCCGGGCACCUCACUUUCUCUCACCGUCGCGACAUCCCUAGCGAUAGGCGUCGUUAUCCCCAGUUUAAUUUACCAAUGAGGAGACCGGGACUCAGGGAGAAGGACUGGCUUAAGCAGCUAGAAAGAAGAGCUGUAACUAGGAUUUAAAUACAGUUUGAGUGCUAAAGACUCUGAUUUUUCCACUACAUCACGCUGUCCUGCCCCUUUCUCCUGAGCCCCAUGUCCUUAAUUAUCACCAUUUCAUAAGGUUUGAGGUUAACUUCAGCACCAAAUAGAUAAUCAUCUAGAGAAAACCUGCGGUGUCUGCCCCUGUUUUUCUUAGUAUCCAUAUGUACUAUGACUUGCGUUAAUAGAAACUACCAUAGGGUACAUCAUUUUUUGGGUACUUACCAUAUGCCAGGCAAGGUGCUAAGAUUUUAACUGCAUCAUCUCAUUUAAUUCCCAUUUUUCAUGAGGAAACUGGAGCUCAAAGAGGUUAGAGAAUUUGCCGAAAGUCACACAGCAGGCCUUUGAAACGUGCAGUCUCAUCCAGUAUCACGGCAGAAGCAGAAAGACAGAAGAUGGAGCAAGCAGAAGCCAUGAGCACAGAGGAAGCCAAAAGACUGGCCCUGAGCUAACAUCCGUGCCCAUCUUCCUCUGCUUUAUAUGUGGGACACCUACCACAGCAUGGCUUGCCAAGCGGUGGUGCCAUGUCUGCACCCGGAUCCGAACCGGCGAAUCCCGGGCCACCGAAGCGGAACAUGCACACUUAAUUGUUAUGCCACUGAGCUGGCCCCUUGUUUAGCCUGUUUUACACAUGAAGAAACUGAGGAUGCUGCCACAGCAUGGCUUGACGAGCGAUGCUAGGUCUGCGCCCAGGAUCCAAACCUGCAAACCCCGGGCCACUGAAGCAGAGCACGCGAACUUAACCACUAUGCUACUGGGCUGGCCCCAACAUAAAACUUUUAAAAGCA